CAUACCUGCUCCUGUCUCACCAGUCCUGAAGGGAGUAUUGUGUGCCUACUGACACCAACCAGCAUCACCACUGUGGAUAUGUCCACCUGCUUGCUGAGUCGUGCCUUUGGAUCAGAGCUUUCUCUGCUAUCCUGAAGCUAGCUUAAAAAGAGUUGCUAUGGUAAUUCAAACUUGCCAGGCCAUAUGCAUAGGAUUAAAGUUUGACUGUGAAUCAAGAAACAAAAGGAACUGGAUGAGGAGUCUCUUUAUCUGAAUACACAUCUUCAGCACUGAUCACUUGCAGUCAAAGUUCCUUCCCUGAUUUCCUGCUGGAGACAAGGCUGCAAGCCUGGCUGCAGUAAAGAGGAGCUAAGGCAAACCUAUUUGUUUUUGUUGCUAUGGUGCUGGGAAUAAACAGCCUUUUCUAGGACAGUCUCUAAAAUACCAGUGGAGCUUGCUCGCUAACACAGUCAUUCAACUUGUGAAUUGUCUGCACCCCUUUGUAUUUUAAUUAUCCUGUGUUUCCUUAGUUAAAACGUUGUUUUCCAUAUGGGGAUGGAGCUUCCUUCCUCAUUGGCUUUUCAUGCUCCCAGUGUGAACAGAGUGUGAAUCAGAAACCUGCUGUCUACCACCAGCUUUUUUUUCCUGGGAAACUAAGAGGCUACCCGGCAAUCCCUGUGAUCACUUGUGUUUAGCCAGUUGCUUCUUGAGGUCUGAAUGCGUGAAAUGCCAUGACACGGAGCUUCAUAAUGACAGAAGUGACUGGAGAGAGGAACUGUUUGGAAGAAUUCUUUUCCUUAGUGUUGUGAAAUAACUGAGAUGAGAGGGCUUUUCCCAUGGGGUGAGGUCACAUUCAGACCGCGCUGUCCUGUGCAGAGCAAGAUGUGACCUUGAGCUGCAUGGUCUUAACUCUAUUUGAUAAGCACCUCACAGUUCUGGCUUAGUGUGCUCUAAAGCUGAGAUGUGCACCUGUGGAAUACGCUCUUUCACUUCAAACUCUGCAAGAAAAAGGAGUACAUUUGAUCUCUGCUCAUUGCAUAGAGCCCUUAGGUUUCUUUCUGUAGCGGCCAAAGACAAAGCCAGUAAAAAUAUAUCCUGUUCU